UUGAGUCAUGUGGAAAAAAAUGUUGGUGGGGGAUUGGUACUGAUUUUUACAAUGUUCACAGGUCAGACUUUACCACGAUCAUUUAUCUAUCUGGGAUGCCUUUUACAUUCUUGGCUUUGUGUUGCAUAUGGUGGGAAAAAUGAAAACCAGGUUGGAAGCCACCUACCAUUGUCAUUCAUAUUUUGAAUCAACAAACAUUGAAGACCCAUAAUGUGUCUGCCCCAGUGUUGGUUGCUGGUGUCACAAUCCAGAAGGGUUCGUAACCUUAAGGAGCUCACUGGCACAGGGAGAGCAACAAGUAAAGCCAUCAGGGUGACAAUGUCACAAGAGCUGUGAUGGCAGAACAUUUAGACACAUGUGGAGACAAAUGGUCCAUUAAAUUUUCCAGGGUCUGAUCAGGGUUCAGAGCUCAAGGAUAUGUGGAGCUGAGUCUUUUCUGCAGAAGAUGGAAAUACUGCAUUCCUUGCAGGGUAGCAGUGUGAACAAAGUCAUGGAGGCAAAACAGUGAUUUUAAAGGAGGCAAGUUACUCAGUAACAAGAGAAAAGUAUACAGAGGUCUGUUAGGAUGAUGGGAAAGCUAUCAAGGGAGAAGUGUAUGCAGAAGCAUAUUCUAGAAGGCAUGAGAGAUUUAUAAUAACAUAACUUUAUAGUGGAGAACCCUGGUGGACAUAACCAAGUGAUCAAAGGCAAGGGUCACAUCUAUCCUAGCUGCCAUUGAACCAGAAUGGAUUUCCAGAAACCAGGCUCACUCUUGGGAUACUGUCAAAGAUGAGCAUGUCAUUACCUUUGCCAGAAAGACCCUUAAAGGAAACAUGAGAAGUAUACAUUAGAUCCUUGAUAAGAGCAAUGGAAGCCACAUCUUUAAUAACAUGUUACCUUAGAUAAGUUCAGCAUAUGAUGCUUUCAAAUAAUUUUCAUUAUUUUGCAGAAAAACAAAAAAGGGGAGAUUUUCGAAAGAGUUUUGAGGUGGGCCUUGGCGAAGAUAAACUGGCUACUUACAGACUUUACCCUAAGAAGCUCAAUAUUCCAGAGGAAGAUAUCCUUACCCAGUGAGACCAAGAUCUUAUAGUUCUCCAACAUCACAUUA